GAACAACGGAGAUAUGGUGUUUUCAGACAAGGGAAUAAAUUCCCGGAAGCAAGUGGCCAAGGAAUGAAAAUCCUGGAGAACAAAGUGGAAUAAACCCGUAUUCAACGGUUCCUGUUGAUUUUCUUUCCUCCCUAAACACUGACCUCCUGCAGUCUUCACCAGCAGUAACUCCACAAUCACAGCUGCUGGAGGAAUUCACCUCCAUGUCAUCACGAUCCCCCAGAAGCAUUUGCUUCCCAUUCUUGCCUUGAAAGAUGUGAAUCGUAAACACCGGUUUCUGUAGGCACCACUGAUUUCCUGAUUUAGUUUUGAUCAACCUCUGGAGGAGGAAAUGCAUUCAGCAUCAUAUUAUACAUGGAAAAAGAAGAAAUCUGGAUAUAGACACAGACGUACACACAUGCACACAUAUGGAGAAAACUGUGUGAAGAUGAUGGCAGAGCCAGAAGGAUGCCUCUACAAGACAACGGACACCAGAGAUUGCCAGCAACCACCAGAAGCUGGGGGGGCCAGGAGCUGGUGCUCCCUCCAAGCCUCAGGAGGGACCAGCCCUGCCCACACCUUGAUGCUGGACCUCCAGCUGAGAGAGUACAUUCCUGUAGGAAGAACAAGGACUUGGAAGUCAAAUAAGCUUAGAGCAAUUCUGCCUAACUGUGGGACUUUGAGUAAAAUUUCUUGGCUUCUUGGGACCUCAGUUUGUAAAUUGGGCGUGUCAUCCUUCCCUCAUAGGUCAUCAAGAGGAAAUGCACUGUCCUGCACAAGCAUGGCGCCCAAGGCUUGGCACUUGGGGGGCCACUCAUGGGAGCCCACUUUCGUGACCCCUCUUCCUACUGGGAAGAGUAGGGGAACCAUGGGAGGCAGGUCCUGCUAUCUGUUGAGCAGCACCUUCCAACCCUGA
rnacentral:lncRNA from 1 species